GCCUUCGUGGUGUAAUGGUAGCACACCCGACGCGUAUUAGAGAGGUCUAGGUUCGAAUCCCGGUGAGAGCA
rfam:Stegodyphus mimosarum contig22541, whole genome shotgun sequence.